rnacentral:rRNA from 1 species
GAUCAUGGCUCAGGAUGAACGCUAGCGGCAGGCUUAACACAUGCAAGUCGAGGGGCAGCACGAGGUAGCAAUACUUUGGUGGCGACCGGCGCACGGGUGCGUAACGCGUAUGCAACCCACCUUUAACAGGGGCAUAACACUGAGAAAUUGGUACUAAUUCCCCAUAACAUUCGAGAAGGCAUCUUCUUGGGUUAAAAAACUCCGGUGGUUAAAGAUGGGCAUGCGUUGUAUUAGCUGGUUGGUGAGGUAACGG